ACCUGAUUGGCUCCGUCGGUGGAGUGUACGACUCUUGAUCUCCAGGUUGUGGGUUUGAACCCCACAUUGGGUG
rnacentral:tRNA from 1 species